rnacentral:rRNA from 1 species
AACGAACGCUGGCGGCAUGCCUAACACAUGCAAGUCGAGCGAGAUCUUCGGGUCUAGUGGCGCACGGGUGCGUAACGCGUGGGAAUCUGCCCUUUGGUUCGGAAUAACAGUUGGAAACGACUGCUAAUACCGGAUGAUGACGAAAGUCCAAAGAUGUUAUAGCCAGAGGAUGAGCCCGCGUAGGAUUAGCUAGUUGGUGUGGUAAAGGCGCACCAAGGCGACGAUCCUUAGCUGGUCUGAGAGGAUGAUCAGCCACACUGGGACUGAGACACGGCCCAGACUCCUACGGGAGGGAGCAGUGGGGGAUAGUGGACCAUGGGCGAAAGCCUGAUCGAGCAAUGCCGCGUGAGUGAUGAAGGCCUUAGGGUUGUAAAGCUCUUUUACCCGGGAUGAUAAUGACAGUACCGGGAGAAUAAGCUCCGGCUAACUCCGUGCCAGCCGCCGCCGUAAUAC